rnacentral:rRNA from 1 species
GAUGAACGCUGGCUACAGGCUUAACACAUGCAAGUCGAGGGGAAACGGCAUUGGGUGCUUGCACCGAAUGGACGUCGACCGGCGCACGGGUGAGUAACGCGUAUCCAACCUUCCCGUUACUGCGGGAUAACCUGCCGAAAGGCAGACUAAUACCGCAUGUUCUUCGAUGACGGCAUCAGAUUCGAAGCAAAGAUCCGUCGGUAACGGAGGGGGAUGCGUCUGAUUAGCUUGUUGGCGGGGCGACGGCCCACCAAGGCGACGAUCAGUAGGGGUUCUGAGAGGAAGGUCCCCCACAUUGGAACUGAGACACGGUCCAAACUCCUACGGGAGGCAGCAGUGAGGAAUAUUGGUCAAUGGGCGGAAGCCUGAACCAGCCAAGUAGCGUGCAGGAUGACGGCCCUACGGGUUGUAAACUGCUUUUAUGCGGGGAUAAAGUGAGGGACGCGUCCCUUUUGCAGGUAC